ACUCCUACGGGAGGCAGCAGUGGGGAAUCUUGCGCAAUGGGCGAAAGCCUGACGCAGCAACGCCGCGUGCGGGAUGAAGGCUCUCGGGUCGUAAACCGCUUUCAGCAGGAACGAAAUUGACGGUACCUGCAGAAGAAGCACCGGCUAACUACGUGCCAGCAGCCGCGGUAAU
rnacentral:rRNA from 1 species